CCCCCCCCCCCCCCCCCCCCCCCCCCCCCCCCCCCCCCCCCCCCCCCCCCCCCCCCCCCCAGCCAAACCGGGAGCAUGGAAAAAAUUUGGGAUGUUCCAAAAAACCGGGAUCACUCCUCCCUGUGAGCACGGAAACCGGGAUGUUCCAAAAAAAACGGGAUAAAUUCUCCCGGUGAGCCUGGAAAGUUUCGGGAUGCUGCCGGUACCGGGAUUUUCCAGGAUAAUUCUCUCUGGCCCCGGUACCGGGAUUUUCCAGGAUAACUCUCUCUGUGGCCCCGGUACCGGGAUUUUUCCAGGAUCCGGGAUUUUCCAGGAUAACUCUCCGUGCCCCCGGUACCGGGAUUUUUCCAGGAUAACUCGUUCCAUGCCCCCGGUACCGGGAUUUUUCCAGGAUCCGGGAUUUUCCAGGAUAAUUCGCUCCGUGCUCCCGGUACCGGGAUUUUCCAGGGUAACUCCGUGCUCCCAGUACCAGGAUUUUUUUCCAGGAUAACUCUCUCGGUUUCCCCGGUACCGG
rnacentral:lncRNA from 12 species